GUUAUGAAAUGUAAGGGUGUAAAUAGCAUCCUUACUUGACUAAGGCUCCAGAGGAAGCCACGGCUAACUCUGUGCCAGCAGCCGCGGUAAUACAGAGGUGGCAAGCGUUGUUCGGAAUUAUUGGGCGUAAAGAGCACGUAGGCGGUUCUGCAAGUCAGCUGUGAAAGCCUUCCGCUCAACGGAAGAACUGCAGUUGAUACUACAGGACUAGAGUGCGGGAGGGGAGAGUGGAACUUCUGGUAAU
rnacentral:rRNA from 1 species